UUUUGGGCUAGAGACUGCCUGACUCUCCGUUACUGGUCCACAUUCUAUGGCUCUUGUCUGAGAUUAGAUGAAAAGUUGGGACACUUCCAGAAGAAAAUACCAUGAUAGCUGUAAGAAAUGCCUACUCUAUCUCAGAAUAAUGAAUGGACUGAGGAAGUUAGAGAAUGACGUGUCCAAGGUGGAGUUAUGCACAGUUUCCAAUUAUCAACCUACUCUGGAGAGGAACAAUCAACUUGACUUUCUGACAGCAAAGCCAAUCCAACUGGAAAAUUCCAAUUCUACAAGAAAACUCUGCCUAGCAACAUUUUCAAAGGCAAACAGCAACCCACAACACCAGAAUCACCUUUUUCUUCCU